CGUCAAAUCAUCAUGCCCCUUAUGUCUUGGGCUACACACGUGCUACAAUGAACGGUACAAAGGGCAGCGACCCCGCAAGGGCGAGCGAAUCUCAGAAAGCCGUUCCCAGUUCGGAUUGUGGGCUGCAACCCGCCCGCAUGAAGUCGGAGUUGCUAGUAAUCGCGAAUCAGCAUGUCGCGGUGAAUGCGUUCCCGGGCCUU
rnacentral:rRNA from 1 species